rnacentral:lncRNA from 1 species
UUGGAAUUGAGCCCACCGCGAUCUCCACCACCACUGCCCAUUGGACGGAACCCACCACCACCGCCUCCACCUGGAGGGAAACGAGGCGGACUGUCAAAAGCACGGUUGUCGCGACCACCGCUGGAGAAUCCGGGUUGGUGGUAAUUGGUAGGAGGGCUACGAAGGUUGUGGUGGUAGUUCACGGCGGGGUCAUCAUCGGAGGAACGAGAAGGGGCUCUGGCCUGCCUGAAG